UUUACACUUGUAGCAACCAAA
rnacentral:piRNA from 1 species